GUGGGGAAUAUUGGACAAUGGGGGGAACCCUGAUCCAGCCAUGCCGCGUGUGUGAAGAAGGCCUUUUGGUUGUAAAGCACUUUAAGCGAGGAGGAGGCUACCGAGAUUAAUACUCUUGGAUAGUGGACGUUACUCGCAGAAUAAGCACCGGCUAACUCUGUGCCAGCAGCCGCGGUAAUACAGAGGGUGCAAGCGUUAAUCGGAUUUACUGGGCGUAAAGCGCGCGUAGGUGGCCAAUUAAGUCAAAUGUGAAAUCCCCGAGCUUAACUUGGGAAUUGCAUUCGAUACUGGGUGGCUAGAGUAUGGGAGAGGAUGGUAGACAUCCAGGUGUAGCGGUGAAAUGCGUAGAGAUCUGGAGGAAUACCGAUGGCGAAGGCAGCCAUCUGGCCUAAUACUGACACUGAGGUGCGAAAGCAUGGGGAGCAAACAGGAUUAGAUACCCUUGUAGUCC
rnacentral:rRNA from 1 species